rnacentral:rRNA from 1 species
GAUGAACGCUAGCGGCAGGCUUAAUACAUGCAAGUCGAACGGUAAAUAUUAUAGCAAUAUAGUAUGAGAGUGACGUACGGGUGCGUAACACGUAUGCAACCUACCCAAAACUGGAGUAUAGCUCGGGGAAACUCGAAUUAACCCUCCAUAAGAUGUUAGUGUGGCAUCACACAGACAUUAAAAUACAAGUGGUUUUAGAUGGGCAUGCGUCUGAUUAGUUAGUUGGCGGGGAACGCCCACCAAGACGAUGAUCAGUAGGGGAACUGAGAGGUUCGAUCCCCCANACUGGCACUGAGAUACGGGCCAGACUCCUACGGGAGGCAGCAGUAGGGAAUAUUGGUCAAUGGGUGAGAGCCU